rnacentral:rRNA from 1 species
AUUGAACGCUGGCGGUAGGCCUAACACAUGCAAGUCGAACGGUAACAGGAAGAAGCUUGCUUCUUUGCUGACGAGUGGCGGACGGGUGAGUAAUGUCUGGGAAACUGCCUGAUGGCGGGGGAUAACUACUGGAAACGGUAGCUAAUACCGCAUAACGUCGCAAGACCAAAGAGGGGGACCUUCGGGCCUCUUGCCAUCGUAUGUGCCCAGAUGGGAUUAGCUAGUAGGUGGGGUAACGGCUCACCUAGGCGACGAUCCCUAGCUGGUCUGAGAGGAUGACCAGCCACACUGGAACUGAGACACGGUCCAGACUCCUACGGGAGGCAGCAGUGGGGAAUAUUGCACAAUGGGCGCAAGCCUGAUGCAGCCAUGCCGCGUGUAUGAAGAAGGCCUUCGGGUUGUAAAGUACUUUCAGCGGGAAGGAAAGGAAUAAAGUUAAUACCUUUACUCAUUGACGUUACCCGCAGAAGAAGCACCGGCUAACUCCGUG